UGGGGCUGGAUUCGGAGCAGAAAAGGAGGGAGGCAGGACGGCAGCCCAGGCAGGGAAGUCUGUGUGGGGGGAAAAGGUGGAGUGUCCCCAGCUGGUCAGCCCAAGUCUGCCAGCAGUUGUCAAAAUGCUCAGAGUGGGGUAGGGGGUGAAGGUCUGGAAUAGCAACCGGAGGACAGGAGGGGACUGAGCAGGGGGUGGUGGCCAAGGUGAGACCAGACCCAGAAAGUGUGUAAGAUGGUCCCCUGCACACACGUGCGAUCCGCCAGCUCGGGAACAGACAAGGCCGAGAGCUGGAUGCACUAGUAUGAGGCCGCUGGGCCACCCGACGAGUGUGAGCCUCACAGGCCAUCAGGGAGGCCUUGUCCGCCCAGAUGGCAGCUCUCACCGGAAAGCUGCAGUGAGUGACUUCGUGCGGCUUCCGUGCAGCCACGGACCCAGAUGGACCACACAUGUGGAAGCCGGUUCUCCACCAGGAAGGAUCCGUGUUCAUCCAACAGCUCUGGGGCGCCUGGUACCCAGGUGGGAAGACGGAGUGGGAUCUCUGCCUCACACCACACAGGCAUCCGAUUGGAGCAGCCCGGAUGGACUGACAACUCCGCACCGUGUGAGCGGAGGACACGGUGCCCACGUGAGCACAGGUCGCGGUGCCAUGCGAAGCGGAGACAAUGAGGAAAAGAAACCAAUGCCAGCCACAUACGUCAGCACGCUGAAAUCUCACAAAUACUUUGUGCAAAGAAAACUCCGAAAACUGCCAAGGACUUGGGGCCCUCAGGGUUCGGACUCACCCCUACCUGAAAUGAUGUGUCCGGCGUUUCAGGAUGGAAACGAAUGCCAGUGCGUCGGCCAAGGACUUGUGCAGAAGCUUCUCGUUAAUUGUCCCACCUGGAGGCUGUGUGGAGGGUUAGAGAGUGUGGCCUAG
rnacentral:lncRNA from 1 species